rnacentral:misc_RNA from 1 species
UCGCGGCUUAUCACCGGCAGUCCCCUUAGAGUGCCCAACUAAAUGAUGGCAACUAAAGGCGAGGGUUGCGCUCGUUGCGGGACUUAACCCAACAUCUCACGACACGAGCUGACGACAGCCAUGCAGCACCUGUCACUCAUCCAGCCGAACUGAAGGUAAUCAUCUCUGAAAACCGCGAUGAGGAUGUCAAACGCUGGUAAGGUUCUGCGCGUUGCUUCGAAUUAAACCACAUGCUCCACUGCUUGUGCGGGCCCCCGUCAAUUCCUUUGAGUUUCAACCUUGCGAUUGUACUUCCCAGGUGGAAUACUUAAUGCGUUAGCUGCGCCACCGAAAGCCUAAGGCCCCCGACAGCUAGUCAUCAUCGUUUACGGCGUGGACUAC